rnacentral:rRNA from 1 species
CCUACGGGAGGCUGCAGUGAGGAAUAUUGGUCAAUGGACGAGAGUCUGAACCAGCCAAGUAGCGUGAAGGAUGACUGCCCUAUGGGUUGUAAACUUCUUUUAUAAAGGAAUAAAACGAGGCACGUGUGCCUUUUUGCAUGUACUUUAUGAAUAAGGAUCGGCUAACUCCGUGCCAGCAGCCGCGGUAAUACGGAGGAUCCGAGCGUUAUCCGGAUUUAUUGGGUUUAAAGGGAGCGUAGAUGGGUUGUUAAGUCAGUUGUGAAAGUUUGCGGCUCAACCGUAAAAUUGCAAUUGAUACUGGCAGUCUUGAGUACAGUUGAGGUAGGCGGAAUUCGUGGUGUAGCGGUGAAAGGCUUAGAUAUCACGAAGAACCCCGAUUGCGAAGGCAGCUUACUAAACUGUGACUGACAUUGAUGCUCGAAAGUGUGGGUAUCAAACAGGAUUAGAUACCCUGGUAGUC